GACGUAGGGGGCAAGCGUUGUCCGGAUUUAUUGGGCGUAAAGAGCGUGUAGGCGGCCAGACAGGUCCGUUGUGAAAACUCGAGGCUUAACCUCGAGAUGUCAUCGGAAACCAUUUGGCUAGAGUCCGGAAGAGGAGAGUGGAAUUCCUGGUGUAGCGGUGAAAUGCGCAGAUAUCAGGAAGAACACCAAUGGCGAAAGCAGCUCUCUGGGACGGUACUGACGCUGAGACGCGAAAGCGUGGGGAGCGAACAGG
rnacentral:rRNA from 1 species